rnacentral:rRNA from 1 species
GAUUUCUGGCUUGAAACAUUUUGCCGGCCACGGUUUCGUGUGUUAGUGCUUGAUGUUCUGGCCAUCCUUCCAAUUGCUAUUCACUUCUCUUCAUUGAUUGGUGAGUGGUAUUGGAUCUUUUACUUUGAAAAAAUUAGAGUGUUUCAAGCAGGCUACAAUUGCUAUGAAUACAUUAGCAUGGAAUAAUAAGUUAGGACUUCGGUUCUAUUUUGUUGGUUUCUAGAGCUGAAGUAAUGAUUGAUAGGGAUAGUUGGGGGUGCUAGUAUUCAGCGGCCAGAGGUGAAAUUCUUGGAUUCGCUGAAGACUAACUUAUGCGAAAGCAUU